rfam:Gossypium arboreum cultivar AKA8401 contig_78_7, whole genome shotgun sequence.
CGUUAAAUUUUUUAUCCAUUUUUACUGUUAAAAAUUGGUGUAGCUAAUGGAAUAAUAAGACAACGGCAUGUGACACACCACAUGUAUAGUGUACCUCAUGUUGACAUACAAUAACAAUUUUUUAAUAGUAUAAAUGGAUGAAAUUUUUAGGA